ncrna:unclassified sequences IMES-1 RNA motif
CGGCGACUGACGAGCGACCAACUGCAGACGGGAGCGAGAGGGAAGCCGACAGAAGAGUACUCAGGUAGAAAGCGUGACAGAGGGCCGGCAUAGAAAGCGCUUUGUUGCCCACCGAGGACGGAGGGAUAGCGUCCGAGGAGCUGAAGGAGAGUCCCACUUCAGACGCCUGAGGAACUCGAAUAAAAG